rnacentral:lncRNA from 1 species
UCCAAGAUUGAAACCCUCCAUCUGGUAGAGAAGCUCCUUACAUAGGAAAGUAAAACACUCAAAAUAGUUUCAGGAAGUCCCUGAAACUGACCAGAUUCACUGGGCCCCUCCCUGCCAUAGUAAGCAGAGCUAAACUACAAAGAAGACUCUAGGAAGAACAAAAGCUGCCAGGAAGACUCUGAGACUGGAACAACUGAGUGGAAGAAGCAGAAACCAGUGGAGCUGCUUGGAGGAGGUUUAGACCAGAGUCACUUGGAAAGGCCACUCUCUGCCCUGCUGAGCUGCCACCAGUGAGCUGUGCAGUGAGCUCCAGGUUCCCAGCUCUGUGAGCUGUCACCCAUGCCAGGGUAUGCCUUGGUGAGGCAGCUGUCUUUGUCUCCUGCUAUCACAGAAGACUCACAGCUCUCAGAGACACAAGGAUUUGGGAGACAGAGAACGGAAAGCUAAGUGUUUUAUAUUUAGAAAGAAAUACUACUGGGCCUCGGGGGUGAGGGAUGGUUCAUGAUUUAAGAGUACAUAACUACUGUUGCAGAAGACCUGAGUUUGAUCCUCUGAUGUCUAAGUGAGAAGGAUCUGGUGCCCUCUUGAUUCCACAGACACCUGCACAUACAUGUAGACAGACAGACAGACACACACACAGAAACACACACAAGAGAUUAAAACUUAAAGACAUUUCUAGUGCUGUAUCUUCUUUUACUUAUUCUCUGUGUGUAUGAAUGUUUUGCCGGCAUGUGUAUUAAGUGUGCUCUGUGCAUACCUGCUACCAGAAGAACGUGUCAAGUCUCCCUCAGACUGGAGUUACAAAUGGUUGUGAGCCACCACGUUGGUGCUGGGCCAAACCCAGGUCCUCUACAAGAGCAAGAGAUGCUCCUAACCAUGAAGCUAUCUCUUUAGCGCCCCUCCCCCCAGUGCUG